rnacentral:rRNA from 1 species
UACGUAGGGGGCAAGCGUUGUCCGGAUUUAUUGGGCGUAAAGAGCGUGUAGGCGGUCUGAAAGGUCAGCUGUGAAAACUCGAGGCUCAACCUCGAGACGUCGGUUGAAACCAUCUGGCUAGAGUCCGGAAGAGGAGUGUGGAAUUCCCGGUGUAGCGGUGAAAUGCGCAGAUAUCGGGAAGAACACCCGUGGCGAAGGCGGCACUCUGGGACGGUACUGACGCUGAGACGCGAAAGCGUGGGGAGCGAACAGG